UCAUCACCUUUCAACUCAUUUCAACCAAACAAAAUCAAUUCAUAUAAAUCGAGUAAUCAACAUCGCUUAUGAAUUUCUUAAAAGCUUUGGCUCGUGCCAAAAUCAUUCUCAUACUCAGUUAUCAAGGAUACCUUGGCCGAGGGCUAUUCCAACCGAGUCCGCCAAGGCUAUUAAAAAGUUAUAUAUGCAUAAAUCAUGUUUUUAUUUUGAAAACAUAGUCGUUUCUUAGAGUUGGUUGAGUUCACCCUCAUGUAGUGGUUUGGCGUGAAGUGAACUCUAAAGUGUUAACCUUAGGAGUUAUCCAUCCCCGCCUCUCAUACUAAGGUAUGAAUAUAAUAGGGUUACCGUGCCCCCUCUAGUAGGCUGGUCCACGGAAGCCGUCCACUGCAGCGACUAAUCAAUAACCCACCAAUUCAAUAAAAUUCAACAACAUGACAUGGCAAUUUUAUCAUUAUCCAGCCUAUCAAGGCAAACAACAGUUUAUACAUUUUCAACACAAAUACCAAUUCAACCAUUCAUGCCAAUAUUAUCAUAAGCCAUUCAAUUCAAACCAUGAUUUAUAACACAACAAUUAGUCUGCAAUUACUCCAUUUUCAAAACCAUCAUUCAAUUUCAAGACAAUUUUAUAAAAUCAUUUCAUUUAAACACAUUUUGUUUAUAAAACAUAAAGAUUUACUAUUUAAACUCAUUUUCCAUAAAAUCACAAAAUCGGAUAAAAACCACUUUAGAUAAUUAAGACGAUAGUAAGGUUACUCACUAUUUCGGGAGUCAAAUUCCGAGCACUCCGAUUCUUGAUCCUCGGGUACUAUCUCUUUACUUUUGCCAGAAUGCUCACCACCUAGACAUAAUGCACAAUAAGCUAUUUACUACAUUUGUGCUAAAUUGUUAUAAAACCAAUUCAAGCUUUAUACUAAUGCAUGAAAUGGGAUGUGAAAUACUUAGGUAAUUAUCUAAAUACGAUGUUCAAUAUAAAUUCAAUUAUGUACCUAAAUAAAACGGUAUUAGCCUAAUUCGAUCUAUCACCCGAUUAAUUGGCUAAUACGUCCAAUUCAACUCCAAAUAAUUCCAUUUUUCUCCCAAUACUCCAAAUCACCAAACACAAAUUAAAUAACUUGAAAUAUAGCAAAAUCAUCUUCACAUUUUCUCUUGGAAAAUUCGACCAUCGUGAGUGCAUCAACACUAUAAUUUUUCAAGCUUGAUUCUCUCACCAUAAAUCACUAAUUCCUAACCAAAUCACUUGAAAUAAAAUCAAAAUCAUCCUCAAUAUUCCACAUGGAGAAUUCAGCCAAUGAUGGGUGAAGGAAGAACAUGAAUUUUUCUUGCUUGAUUUUCAUACUACACAUCACCAAUCAACUAAAAACACUAAAAUACAUUGAAAUCUAACCAAAUCAAGCAUCAAAACCUCUCUCUAAGUGUUCAGCUAGCAAGAUACCUAUCAUGAAAUCAUGUGAUUCAACCAUGGAAAAUGCAAAAGAAUGUAUGGGAAAGGUAGAUCACAAGUCAAAAUCAAGAAAUUUUACCUUUGAUUGCUUGAUUACUUGAAUUUCACCAAUUUUCUCUUGAAUUUUCACCCUAGGGUUCUUGUUCUUUCUUUUCUUCCUUUGUUCUUGCUUUGGCCGGCCAUAUGAAGAGAAAUG
rnacentral:lncRNA from 1 species